AAGGAUUAAAGUUUAAUAACAUCUAAGUUGCAAUUAGAAAAAACUUAAUUAAUAAGUUAAUCUU
rnacentral:tRNA from 1 species